GCGAGGGCGUGCCCCUCCCGCACCCCCUCCCCGCGCAGACGCUACCCGCGGGCCAGGCGCGCCACCUGGUGGCCGCAAGGGGGAAGAGUCCGGGCGAAGGGCCCGCACCGCCCCUGGCGCCGCGGAGAUGCGGCCCUCCCGCCUUCUUCCUGAGCGAUUCUCACCGCCACGGCUCACCCUGCUGAUUGCACAAAACGCCAGCCGCCUCCCUGCCUCCCCCCAGUGGCAAACCCAUAAGUAGUGAGUUGUGUGGAGACGUGACAUCCGGCUCUGCGCUGUGACCGUGAGACACACUUGGAUCUGCGUGUCUGUUUCUUCAGUUUAAACUCCGUCCUAAUUCGAGGGGAAAAUAUAUCACAAGCCUACGACCUUGGAAGUUUCCCUUUUUUCUCCUGCAUCUCCCCCUCAUUCUCUGCCUCAAGAUAGUUUCUUGCAUCCUGGCAGCACCUACUUAGGCUAGUAACCCCCGAGUCAAACCGUUCUCUCUCUGUCGGGGAACGGAAGUGAGGCCCUCGCUUGAACAGCCACUCUUCGUAAAUCGCCUGUUUGGCAUUCUUGAGUUUGAUUAACAAAGAAUAGAUUAUCAGGUCGCCUGGGUGGCUCAGUUGGUUAAGCACCUGCCUUUGGCUCAGGUCAUGAUCCCAGGGUUCUGGGAUGGAGCCCCAUGUUGGGCUCCUCCUCUGGGAGUCUUCUCCUUCUCCCUCUGUCUCUCCACUGCUUGUGCUCUGUGUGUGUGUGUGUGUCUUGCAAAUAAAUAAAUAAAAUAUUCUUAAAAUUUAAAACAUUAAAUAUUAAAAAUACAUUAUCAUGUUUUCUAAUUAGAUCUGUGUUAUAUUAAUAAACAAAUUGAGAACUUUUAAAAA